rnacentral:rRNA from 1 species
CCUACGGGCGGCAGCAGUGGGGAAUAUUGCACAAUGGGGGAAACCCUGAUGCAGCGACGCCGCGUGAGGGAAGAAGUAUUUCGGUAGGUAAAGCUCUAUCAGCAGGGAAGAAAAUGACGGUACCUGACUAAGAAGCCCCGGCUAACUACGUGCCAGCAGCCGCGGUAAUACUUAGGGGGCAAGCGUUAUCCGGAUUUACUGGGUGUAAAGGGGGCGUAGACGGUAGCGCAAGUCUGGAGUGAAAUCCCAUGGCUUAACCAGGGAACUGCUUUGGAAACUGUGCAGCUGGAGUGCAGGAGAGGUAAGCGGAAUUCCUAGUGUAGCGGUGAAAUGCGUAGAUAUUAGGAGGAACACCAGUGGCGAAGGCGGCUUACUGGACUGUAACUGACGUUGAGGCUCGAAAGCGUGGGGAGCAAACAGGAUUAGAUACCCGUGUAGUC